ensembl:snRNA U6 U6 spliceosomal RNA
GUGGUUCUCAUUUAAACAACACACAUACUAAAAUUGGACCAAAAGAGGUAUUGGCAUGGCUUCUGUGCAAGAAUGACACACAAAUUCAUGAAGUGUUUCAUAUUUUU